rnacentral:lncRNA from 1 species
AAAAAAACACAAACGAUCAAGGAUCCACAGUGUGCACACCACAAUCUUCUGGCAGGGUGGCAGCGGCGCCAAGAACCGAAUCCGCCGCACGGAUAAGAUGUGCCAUGUGGCGGGCGGCCAGUGGGGGGAAUCGACCGGGGCGCCCGCCGCGCCGGCUGGGGAUAAUCCGCGCCCGUGCAAUUUGAGGCCAUUACCCCCUUGGUCGCGUGCACCACACCCUCUCAUUCUCUCUCCAUCCAGCGCGAGCUCGAGAGGCAGGUCAGCAGCAGAGCGAGAGCGCGUGCCAGCCCAUGGCGAGCACCAACAUGGCGUCGGCCACCUCGCGGUUCAUGCUGGCCGCGGGCGUGCCCGCGACGGGCAGCGGCAGCAGCGGCCGCGUCAGCUUCGCGUCGGCGCCCGGCAGGCUGCAGGGCAGGAGACUCGUGGUGCGGGCCGAGGAGGAGGCCGCGGCGGAGGCGCCCGCGGCGGAAGGGGAGGGCGCCGUGGCCACCAAGCCCAAGGCCGAGAAGCCGCCGCCGAUCGGGCCCAAGAGGGGCGCCAAGGUCUGUGCCAUCAUCUGUGCUCAUCAACGACCAGCAAUUUAGUUUAAUUUGAUGCAAUCCGUUGCUUAAUCU